rnacentral:tRNA from 1 species
GCCGAGGUGGCGAAAUGGUAGACGCACUUGCCUUAGGAGCAAGCGCCGAAAGGCAUGCAGGUUCAAGUCCUGUCCUCGGUA